GCCGAAGUAGCUCAGUUGGUAGAGCAACUGAUUUGUAAUCAGUAGGUCGCGGGUUCGAGUCCCAUCUUCGGCUCAA
rnacentral:tRNA from 2 species